UACGGGGGGUGCAAGCGUUACACGGAAUCACUGGGCGUAAAGAGCAUGUAGGCGGAUUAAUAAGUUUGAAGUGAAAUCCUAUAGCUUAACUAUAGAACUGCUUUGAAAACUGUUAAUCUAGAAUGUGGGAGAGGUAGAUGGAAUUUCUGGUGUAGGGGUAAAAUCCGUAGAGAUCAGAAGGAAUACCGAUUGCGAAGGCGAUCUACUGGAACAUUAUUGACGCUGAGAUGCGAAAGCGUGGGGAGCAAACAGGAUUAGAUACUAGUAGUCCGGCUGACUGUCUAGCCUAAGCACG
rnacentral:rRNA from 1 species